rnacentral:rRNA from 1 species
GACGAACGCUGGCGGCGUGCCUAAUACAUGCAAGUCGAACGAGAGCGACCGGUGCUUGCACUGGUCAAUCUAGUGGCGAACGGGUGAGUAACACGUGGGUAACCUGCCCAUCAGAGGGGGAUAACAUUCGGAAACGGAUGCUAAAACCGCAUAGGUCCUUUAACCGCAUGGUUGAAGGAGGAAAAGAGGCGCAAGCUUCUGCUGAUGGAUGGACCCGCGGUGCAUUAGCUAGUUGGUGAGGUAACGGCUCACCAAGGCCGUGAUGCAUAGCCGACCUGAGAGGGUGAUCGGCCACAUUGGGACUGAGACACGGCCCAAACUCCUACGGGAGGCAGCAGUAGGGAAUCUUCCGCAAUGGACGCAAGUCUGACGGAGCAACGCCGCGUGAGUGAAGAAGGUUUUCGGAUCGUAAAACUCUGUUGUUAGAGAAGAACAAGUGCUAGAGUAAAC